GAUGAACGCUGGCGGCGUGCCUAAUACAUGCAAGUCGAGCGAAUGGAUUAAGAGCUUGCUCUUAUGAAGUUAGCGGCGGACGGGUGAGUAACACGUGGGUAACCUGCCCAUAAGACUGGGAUAACUCCGGGAAACCGGGGCUAAUACCGGAUAACAUUUUGAACCGCACGGUUCGAACUUGAAAGGCGGCUUCGGCGGUCACUUAUGGAUGGAACCGCGUCGCAUUAGCUAGUUGGUGAGGUAACGGUUCACCAAGGCAACGAUGCGUAGCCGACCGGAGGGGGUGAUCGGCCACACUGGGACGGAGACACGGCCCAGACUCCUCCGGGAGGCAGCAGUAGGGAAUCUUCCGCAAUGGACGAAAGUCUGACGGAGCAACGCCGCGUGAGUGAUGAAGGCUUUCGGGUCGUAAAACUCUGUUGUUAGGGAAGAACAAGCGCUAGUUGAAUAAGCUGGCACCUUGACGGUACCUAACCAGAAAGCCACGGCUAACUACGUGCCAGCCGCCGCGGUAA
rnacentral:rRNA from 1 species